GUUUCCGUGGUGUAGUGGUUAUCACAUGUGCCUAACACGCACAAGGUCCUCGGUUCGAUCCCGAGCGGAAACA